rnacentral:lncRNA from 1 species
UUUUUUGUGACUCUAAUAAUGGUAAUAGUCAUGGUAAUAAACUAAGAACAUAUCGCAAAGUUAAAAAUAAUUUUGAAUUAGAAAAAUAUCUUCUACUGGACCUUAACAAAAGUGUUAUUUCUAAAAUGGUAAAAAUCAGAAUUAGUAAUAGUAAAUUACUAAUAGAAGUUGGUAGAUAUACUAGAACACCUUUAGAACAGAGAAUUUGUCCAAUUUGUAAGGAUGGAAUUGAAGAUGAGUUCCAUUUCCUCAUUCAAUGUAAAGCGUUAGAACUUAAUAGAAAUGUACUCUUUUGUAAUUUAAGUGAUAUAGUUCCAUCUUUUGUUAAUAUGAGUGAACAAGAUAAGUUUAGUUUCAUUUUGAAAAGUAAUGAUACGGACAUUAGUACUGUAAGUGUAGCUGGAAUAAGCGAUAUGUAUGAUUUGAACAUUCAUUUAAAGCAAACAUAAUGUUGUUAAGAGCUUUUAUAGUAUUAAAGCUGAUUGUAAUAGCUUGAAUUAAUAAUAUUGUAUGAAUAACACCUCCACGCAAUGUAAAUAUAAAAUAUGUAUCUCUUAUCAUGAUCAUUGAGAAAUAUGUUUGGUUUUUUUUUGUUUU